rnacentral:rRNA from 1 species
GACAGAGGGUGCAGACGUUGUUCGGAAUUACUGGGCGUAAAGCGCGUGUAGGCGGCUAUGUAAGUCGGGCGUGAAAUCCCACGGCUCAACCGUGGAAGUGCACCCGAAACUGCGUAGCUAGAGUCCUGGAGAGGAAGGUGGAAUGCUUGGUGUAGAGGUGAAAUUCGUAGAUAUCAAGCGGAACACCGGUGGCGAAGGCGGCCUUCUGGACAGUGACUGACGCUGAGACGCGAAAGCGUGGGGAGCAAACAGG